GUUCCUCUGUUUCAGAUUCGACUUAAGUCUUAUGAUUUGAAUAACAUUAUUUUCUGAUUAUAAAAAUAAACUGAUAAAAGGGAGAACCUCCAUGAUUCCCUUAAUGAGCACAUAAAAAAACAGGUAGUAUAAUGUCCACAAAAAGGUAAGUUAAUUAGCUGGGAAUUUGUUAGAAAAUGUGUUACAUAUUUACGUAAUACCUUUUUACAUAGGAUAAUUAAAGUUAAGUUUUAUUUUUAUAAUAUGUAAGAAACCCUUAACUUUAUAUAACAUUAUCACAUAGGAGAAAACUUUAUUUUCGCGUUCCUCGUAAGUUUACCUUUUACAGACGUGCUUGGAAGUAACUGGAUUGUAUAUAUUAAUUAAAAUUUAUUCGUUAAUGUUUGAUAAAAAAAACUGUAAAUUAUAAAAACUAAUAACUAAAGAUAUAUAUAAUUUCUUAUUAACUCCCUAAAAACUCUAUUUAUUUCUGUUGCAGAUAAGAAAGCUUAAUGAUCAUGAAAGUAAUAAGGAAACUUUUAGUUAUGAAUUUCCUUUAACAAGUUCCUCUGUUUCAGAUUUGACUUAAGUCUAAUGAUUUAAAUGAUAUUAUUUAAAGAUAAUAACUAUAAACAAAUAAAAUUUUGAAACUCUAUGAUGCUAUAAUGGUCACAUAAAAAACAGGUAGUAUAAUUUACAGAAAAAGGUAAGUUGAUGAGUUAGGAAUGUGUUAGAAAAUGUUUGAAAUUUUAAAUGAAUACUUUUAAACAUAGAAUAAGUAAAGUUUGGGUUUUUUAUGUAUAAUAUUGUAGGUGUAAAUUUUGUUAUGUGUACCACGUAAGUUUACCUGUUACAGAUGUGCGUGGAAGUAACUGGAUUGUAUAUAUUAAUUAAAAUUUAUUCGUUAAUGUUAGAUAAAAAAUCUGAAAAUUAUAAAAUCUAAUCACUAAAGAUAAUUAAUCUCUUAUUAACUCCUUAUAAACUAUUCAUUUCUGUUGCAGAUAAGAAGAAUAAUGUUUUUCUCUAUGUACUUAUACAUUUAUAGGAAGAUUCAGAUAAUCUUAUGGAAAGACAUUUAUUAGGGGGAAAACAUUUUAUAAGAAUAUUUUUGAAUGUAGUCUGUGGAACUUUGUAGUGUACACGUAUAAUAUAACUGUUUCUUAAACUUUUAGAUUUGAAUUUCCUUUAACAAGUUCCUCUGUUUCAGAUUUGAGUUGAGUCUAAUGAUUCGAGUAAUAUUAUUUAAAAAUAAUAAGUAUAAGGUAAUAAAAGAGAGAACCUCUACGAUGCUCUUAAUAAGCACAUAAAUAACAGGUAGUAUGAUAUACAGAAAAAGGUAAGUUAAUUAGUUAGGAGUUUGUUAAAAAAGGUUUGACAUAUUAAUAGAAUACUUUUGUACGUAGAAAAAGUAAAGUUAGUGUUUUUUUAUAUGUAUGAUAUUAUAACUUAUGUGAAAAUUUUAUUUUUGCGUUACUCGUAAGUUAACCUGUUACAGAUGUGCCUGGAAGUAACUGAAUUGUAUAUAUUAAUUACAAUUUAUUCGUUAAUGUUUGAUAAAAAAACUGUAAAUUAUAAAAUCUAAUAACUGAAGAUAAAUAUAAUUUCUUAUUAACUCCUUAAAAAACUAUUCAUAUCUGUUGCAGAUAAGAAAGCUUAAUGAUCAUGAAAGUAAUAAGGAAUCCCAAAGGUAAUGUAAAGUGUAUUACUAAUAAGAUGAAUGCAGUUGAGGAACAUAUUAAGAGUGACGGUAUCUAUAUUAUGAUUUAAAAAUAAAUUAAAAUCUUUCUUAAUAACAAAUGUAUGUAAUUGAAUACAGGUAACACAUCAUUUAUAACUCGUAUGUAUAAAAUAGUUCGUUUAUAUAUUACAUUUAUAGGAAGAUUCAGAUAAACUUAUGGCAAGACAUUUAUUAAGGGGAAAACAUAUUAUAAGAAUAUUUUUGAAUGUAGGCUGUGGAACUUUGUAGUGUACACGUACAAUAUAACUGUUGUUAAACUUUUAGAUUUGAAUUUCCUUUAACAAGUUCCUCUGUUUCAGAUUUGAGUUGAGUCUAAUGAUAUUCGAGUAAUAUUAUUUAAAGUUAAUAACUAUAAAGUGAUAAAAGUGAGAACAUCUACGAUACCCUUAAUGAGCACAUAAAUAACAGGUAGUAUGAUUUACAGAAAAAGGUAAGUUAAUUAGAUACAUGUUUGUUAAAAAAGGUUUGACAUUUUAAUAGAAUACUUUUGUACGUAGAAUAAGUAAAGUUAGUGUUUUUUAUAUACACUAUACACUUGUAAGUUUACCUGUUACAGAUGUGCCUGGAAGUAACCGGAUUGUAUAUAUAAUUUAAAUUUAUUCGUUAAUGUUUGAUAAAAAACUGUAAAUUAUAAAAUCUAAUAACUGAAUAUAAUUAAUCUCUAAUUAAUUUCCUAAAAGUUUCUAUUCAUUUCUGUUUCAGAUAAGAUACCUUAAUGAUCAUGAAAGUAAUAAGGAAACUUAAAGUAAAGUGUAAUACUAAUAUGAUGAAUGCACUUUUGAAGAACAUAUUUAGAGUGACGGUACCUAUAUUAUGAUUUACAAAAUAAAUAAAAUACUUUCUUAAUAACAAAUUUAAGUAAUUGAUUACAAGUAACACAUAAUUUAUUACUAGUAUGUAUAUAAAUAGUUAGUUUAUAUGUUUUUCUCUAUGUACUUUUACAUUUAUAGGAAGAUGCAGAGAAUCUUAUGGUAAGACAUUUAUUACACAUUUUAUAAGAAUAUUUUUGAAUGUAGACUGUGGAACUUAAUGGUGUACACGUAUGAUAUAACUUUUAUUAAAAACUUUAGAUUUUUAAUUUUUUUACAAGUCCCUCUAUUCCAGAUGUGAUUUGAGUCAUUAUUAUGAUGCGAAUAAAACUAUGUUAAGAUUUUAUAUAUAAACUAACAGAAGUGAGAACCUCUAUGAUGCUGUUAAUGGGCACAUUGAAACAGGUAAUAUUAUACACAAAAAGAUGUGUUUUAAUUAGCUAGGAAUUUGUUAGAAUUUGUUUGACAUUUGACAUUAAAGUGUACAGUGUUUUUUAUUUCGGAUAAACAUUUAUUCAUUUUUCUUACCAACCCUUAUAUAUUUUUAAUAGUGGUCUUAAUUUUUAUUUAUAUACUAUUUAUAAAAUGUAAUAUAUUUAUUAAUUGUCUUUUUUCGCCUUUUAGGACCUGACCCUGAGAAAUUAUUUCAUAAAGGACCUUUUGCGCUACUUCGGAGGUAGGGGCUGCUUCCGGUAAAUUUCCAUGUAGAAAGUUGUUGGACGUUAUUCGCAGUCCUGUCUACCAGGGAGAAGGGGUAGUCAACUCUGUCCAAGCCUUCCAGUCAUAGCAGUUAGUGGGUGGCACGCCUUCAUGUCAAGAUAUAGAAGCUGUUAGGAAUCUCCAGACGAGCUGCCCUGAAUAUACUCGCAAUGGGAAAAAUCUGAAAACGCAUAAACUUAAGGAUCUUUCAGUCAUUGAUUAAGAAUGUAAAAGACGUCCACCAACACAAACUUUCCACUUCAAUUCGCCUGCUAAAAAACCUAUGCCAGAGAUCUGUAGACUACGUAUCAAGAAUCAAAAUUAUCAAAAAUACAAUCACUGCACAGGUACUGGAAUAUGAAGGUCUGCGGUAGGAAUCAUCUGAAAUUCUUAAAAGAACAUCACAAGUUGUCCCCUACGCUUUCUACAAAAUAAAUCAAAAUUUACAUAAUA